rnacentral:rRNA from 1 species
GACGAACGCUGGCGGCGUGCCUAAUACAUGCAAGUAGAACGCUGAAGAGAGGAGCUUGCUCUUCUUGGAUGAGUUGCGAACGGGUGAGUAACGCGUAGGUAACCUGCCUGGUAGCGGGGGAUAACUAUUGGAAACGAUAGCUAAUACCGCAUGACAUUGAUUAUCGCAUGAUAAUUGAUUGAAAGAUGCAAUUGCAUCACUACCAGAUGGACCUGCGUUGUAUUAGCUAGUUGGUGAGGUAACGGCUCACCAAGGCGACGAUACAUAGCCGACCUGAGAGGGUGAUCGGCCACACUGGGACUGAGACACGGCCCAGACUCUUACGGGAGGCAGCAGUAGGGAAUCUUCGGCAAUGGGGGGAACCCUGACCGAGCAACGCCGCGUGAGUGAAGAAGGUUUUCGGAUCGUAAAGCUCUGUUGUAAGAGAAGAACGGGUGUGAGAGUGGAAAGUUCACACUGUG